ensembl:lncRNA
CUUCCUGAUCCUGGAGCAGAUCUCUGGACUGUGUUGAGCAGAAGUCACGUGAGCACACUUCGAGGAAAGCAAAAGUGAAAGUAACUUUCGGGAGUCAGAUUUCAGUAAAACACCGGUAACCGAGCAGUUCCUUCAGAUGUGAUCCGGAUCACCUUCGAGUGAAAACAUGUGUCGUCGGGACGUUAUACGGUUUUUAUAAGACCGUAAUAUAAGUGUUUGUUCGGAUUGGGAGCGCAAAGAUGGAAGAGAAGAGUCUGAUUCUCGAGGGUCUGCCGGAAGAUUUCCACAGAGUCAAAGCAAAGAUCGAGCUUUACUUCAAAAACAAAAGAAGGUCUGGAGGAGAAAUCGUGCAGAUUCGAGAGCAUCCAGACGACAAACGAAAAGCGCUUCUGGUUUAUAUAAGCGAGGAAGAUCUGAAGAAGGUGCUUGACAAAAGGAUCCAUAAAGUUGAUCUCAAACCUCAUGGAUCUGUUGAAGUGACGGUGAAACUCCCAGAAGACACAAAAAUCAAGAUGAAACCACAAGUACUGCCCAAACCCAAACCAGAGACGUGCCUUGCCCUCGGAUCACCGCCAGCUGCUGCCAGACAGGUCAUUAUUACUUAUGAAUUACUAUUAUCAAUAUUAGACCACAAGUUUUCUGAUGCUGGUUUCUUCUGAAAGACUAGGAAGCAACUGAACAUUGUUGCCACUGGCAUAAACAGACACUAGUUUGACCAACUAGCAGUUAACCAGGCGCUAAUCAGUUUUACUUUCAGAUUCAAGAGAUUACUUUUAACGGCGAUCUACAUUUUUACUGUAGUCUUGAAGAAAACAAUUAGAGGACUACUUAACUUAAAAUUAAUCUACACAGUUUAUGAAACCAGCACCUGAUCUCGAUUUAAAUGUCAAAGGAAAAAUAAGAAUUACAAUGUAAAAUGUUUAUAUAUAUAUAUAUAUAUAUAUAUAUAUAAUGCAGUCAGAUUAUUGAUUUACUCACAAACUUCCUCUUUAUCGCACAAAGGUCUCUCCCGUCAGAAAGCCUACUACAGCAAUUAAAGGUCAUAAAGGUUGGACUGUAAUGCUUUUUAUUUUCAGUGUUAAAAAACAACAACCUCAGACUCCAAAACUUUUACGACGACACUUUGAUCUUAUGUAUAUAUUUGUUUAUAAUACAGAAGAUGAGGAGGAUUCUGAAA